rnacentral:rRNA from 1 species
AUACGGAGGAUCCGAGCGUUAUCCGGAUUUAUUGGGUUUAAAGGGUGCGCAGGCGGCCAUUUAAGUCAGCGGUUAAAUCGUGGGGCUCAACCCCAUUCUGCCGUUGAUACUGGGUGGCUUGAUUGCGGUCGAGGUUGGCGGAAUUCGUUGUGUAGCGGUGAAAUUCAUAGAUAUGACGAAGAACACCGAUUGCGUAUGCAGCUGACCAUAUCGCAAAUGACGCUCAUGCACGAAAGUUAGGUGAUCAAACAGGUUUAGAUACCCUGUUAGUACACCCAGUAAACGAGUAAGACUAGCCUUCGGCGAUACACCGCCGUUGGCCAAGCGAAAGCGAUAAGUCAUCCACCUGGGGAGUUCGACCGCAAGGUUGAAACUCUAAUGAAUUGGCGGGG